rnacentral:lncRNA from 1 species
AUAUGAAAAUACGAAAAUAUGAAAUUAUGAAAAUAUGAAAAUAUAAUAAAAUUAAAAAUGUACAAAUGUAGGAAUGUUCAAAAUACAAGUGAAGUAUCAGUUAACGGAUUGACUAAUAGAAUACUUCAGCGUAUAUGUGAUUUAUAUUUGAAAGAUUUUUUUUUUUUUUAUAUUUUUUUUUUUUUUUUUUUUUUUUUUUUUUUGUUAACUUAUGAUUGACUUGUGACUAAAUUAAAGUUCAUUUCAAUUCCAGCUAAAUUAUAGUUAAAUAAGAGCUUGGUUAACGUUCAGUUAAGCUAUAAUUAAAGUUAAAAAAAAUGAUAUAAAAAAUAUAUGUGGUAAUUAUAAAUUUGAAAAAUGUACAUUUUUUGAAUAAAUAUUUGUGUAUAAAAAUGUAAUGCAUAUUAAAUAUAUAAAAAUGAAUAUUGUCAUGUAUGCAUUUAUGUUUUAGGCUUUAGUUUAUAAGGUUUACGUACAGCGUAUCCAAUGUUUGCUUUGUACUGCAUUUCGAACAUGCGCGCUCCUGCAUGAUAACGAUAUAUUUAUAUCUAUAAAAACUAUAAUAUAUAUAAAUAAAUAAAUAAAUAAAUAAAUAAAUAAAUAAAUAAAUAAAUANNNNNNNNNNAAUAAAUAAAUAAAUAAAUAAAUAAAUAAAUAAAUAAAUAAAUAAAUGUAUACAAUCGUACUUAUAGCGCUUUGUAUAUGUAACGCCCAUGCUCAUACAUUUAAAAUAAAUACUUUAAAAGAUCAUUAAGUAAAUUAAAAAAUUGUAUUGACAUAUAAAAGGAAUUGUGUUUGUUUGAUGAGUGUUUCAGAACAAUGUAUUUGCAACAUUUGCGUUGGGAGAAGAAAUACAAAAACUAUAUUGCAAAAAUUUAAAAAAAAAAAAAAAAAAAAAAAAAAAAAAGUAAAAGUUUAAACAUAUGCAAUUAUAUGAUACAUGACGACUGUUUAUAAUUUUUGGAAUAUUGUUCUUAUUUUAUAUGCCAAAAACAGUAAACAUAUGCUUAUGUACAUAUUGUUUUUUUUUCUUUUUCUUUUUUUAAACAUACAGUGUUACUGUGUUGUCUCGAAGGUAGUUAUUAUUGCAAUGCAUAUAUUUUAAUCCAAUUCUGUUUUAUAUGUGUAUAUGGCGCUUCUUAUAAAGGAAUAAACUCUGUUAUUGCUAAUGUUGGUACUAUUGCUGAUUUUACAUUUAGGUGGUUUACGUUUGUCACUAUUUUAUCGUUAAUUGUGCUGUACGUUUCUUCGUUCUUUGUGGUGAACAUUUUUAUUGCCAGUUGUGUUGAACAGUUGUUUGUUUUAUUUGCUGUACAUUUGUUUGUUUUAUUUGCUGUACAUUUUUUGUUUCCUGUAGUGUAUAUUUCUUCGUUCCCUGUAGUGUAUAUUUAUUCAUUCCAUGUAGUGUAUAUUUCUUC